rnacentral:tRNA from 1 species
GCGCUGAUAGCUUAAUGGGCUAACAUCCUGCUCGGAAGGCAGGGAGUGCGGGCUCAAGUCCCGCUUGGCGCA